rnacentral:rRNA from 2 species
CCCGACGACAAUAGUGCGGUUGUUCCACCUGAAUCCAUUCCGAACUCAGAAGUGAAAAGCCGUUACGUCGAUGGUAUUGUGGGGCUUCCCCAUGUGAGAGUAGAGCAUCGUCGGGU